rnacentral:rRNA from 1 species
GACGAACGCUGGCGGCGUGCUUAACACAUGCAAGUCGAACGGAAAGGUCCUGCUUUUGUGGGGUGCUCGAGUGGCGAACGGGUGAGUAACACGUGAGUAACCUGCCCCUGACUUUGGGAUAACUUCAGGAAACUGGGGCUAAUACCGGAUAGGAGCUCCUGCUGCAUGGUGGGGGUUGGAAAGUUUCGGCGGUUGGGGAUGGACCCGCGGCUUAUCAGCUCGUUGGUGGGGUAGUGGCUUACCAAGGCUUUGACGGGUAGCCGGCCUGAGAGGGUGACCGGCCACAUUGGGACGGAGAUACGGCCCAGACUCCUACGGGAGGCAGGAGUGGGGAAUAUUGCACAAUGAGCGGAAGCAUGAUGCAGCAACGCCGCGUGCGGGAUGACGGCCUUCGGGUUGUAAACCGCUUUCGCCUGUGACGAAGCGUGAGUGACGGUAAUGGGUAAAGAAGCACCGGCUAACUACGU